AACGAACGCUGGCGGCAUGCCUAACACAUGCAAGUCGAACGAGUAUCUUCGGGUGCUAGUGGCGCACGGGUGAGUAACGCGUGGGAACCUGCCUUUCGGUACGGGAUAACGUCGGGAAACUGACGCUAAUACCGUAUAUGUCUUUGGAUGAAAGAUUUAUCGCCGGAAGAGGGGCCCGCGUCUGAUUAGGUAGUUGGUGAGGUAACGGCUCACCAAGCCUUCGAUCAGUAGCUGGUCUGAGAGGAUGAUCAGCCACACUGGGACUGAGACACGGCCCAGACUCCUACGGGAGGCAGCAGUGGGGAAUAUUGGACAAUGGGCGCAAGCCUGAUCCAGCAAUGCCGCGUGAGUGAUGAAGGCCUUCAGGUUGUAAAGCUCUUUUGCCUGCGACGAUGAUGACGGUAGCAGGAGAAUAAGCCCCGGCUAACUUCGUGCCAGCCGCCGCGGUAA
rnacentral:rRNA from 1 species